rnacentral:lncRNA from 1 species
CGAGGAUAUUCAAAUCUUCCACUCAAUAUAUUGUCAGUAACGGCCUUCUCACUCCACAGGAGCGAUUAAGGGCUAUAUUAUCUUGCCCACAAUGGCAAGCUCAAUGAUCCUACAAUCUCAAAAUCUCAUAAUCUUCAUAUAGCUGUGUGACCAACUGUUUGACAGCCUUCUAUAUAAGCAACCAAAGCUCUGAAGAUCAGGAUAAGUCAAUCAAUCUCUCUCAAAGAACUCAUUGCUGUUCCUGUUGUUCUCUGAAUCUGACUUGAG